UCCGUGCUGUGAUCACACACACACACACACACACUCCAGACGACACCUACUCCUAACACCUUCUCCUGUUGUCCUGUGGAAGGACAGUACUCUGAGAGGUGAAACACCCAAUCCUAUUGAGUCUCUGAAAUCUGAGCGACGUUGACAGCCAGUUUUGGUGUGACGCACAUUUUGCGCUCUCCUCGGUCGAUAAAACUGUUCCUUUUUUCACAGUGUCCCCUGGAGGAAUGGGUGUGAAGGUACUCCUGUGCUUCCCCUUCUACAGACGCUGCAAAGAGCGAUGCAAGGACAGAGAAUGUCCUCCUGAAACAGUUCUAAUGAUCCAGUGUUCUUUCUUAAAAGAGCUCGCAGUACCAAAAGCUGAGCCAAAGCCACGUCUCUGCUCAACAGCAUCGACAGUCAGCGAGUGCGACAGUGGGAGCAACCUGGGUAGUCCUCAAGCAUAUUUUUCCCAGAAGGCUCGACUCUCCUUUCGACACCAAAUGGAUAGCAACUUUAAUGCAAUAGAUGCCACGUAUUAACUCGUCAAUUGCCAAGGUUUUGAAAAUGAACUCUGACCACUGUCAAGAGACAGCUGGGUGGUAUCAUGGAUGGCAGAAAUUGGAGUUGCAAGAUGGUCUCUUCAUGCCACUCAGGAUGUCCUGAAUUCUGUUCAACAUGGUCAUCUUAUACUCUUAUGAAUGGAAUGGUUACACUGAAGAAGCAAGAGGAGAAUACAGAGUGCAUUUAGGAAAAAAUGUUUACAAGAUUACAAAAAGUGCUUUUUAUGUUCUCUUUAUGUCCCACCAUUUUCUGGUAUGCCUCUUUUCAAACUGUCUGAUACACAGAGGACCACAGAUGUCUGCUUAUGUCUGGUAAUUCUGUGCAAAUGGAUAAUUGUUGAUAACAGAACACUUAUUUCUCAUCUUACUUAAGACAGUCUGCUCUUAUUUCUCGAACAAAAUCUGAAAUUUUUACCUGCAAAUUUAUUUAUUUUUGGUUACUAUUUCCUUUUUAAUGUUUAUUUCUUUAUUAAACACUACACACAGGUGUUUUUAGAACUCAAGCUCCAUAUUCCGUAGAGAUUUGUUUAUAAAAUGAUAUCUGGAGGGAAAAAAAAAAUUUACAGUAGUGAUAGUUAGUACUGUACCUAUCCAGGACAUGUGGUCUACCAUUAUAACACUAAAUACUUUGUAUGUCUUUUGUAUUAAAAUGUUUGUGUGUAUUUUUGUAAAAUAUCUGGACUCAAUAUUUCAUUAAAAUUCAAAUUUCAUGUAAUUUUUAAAAUUAAAAAGAAAUAUUUCACAUUUAUAAAAUUAAACAAGGCACUAAUGUAAA